CCAUCGAUCAAAUCUCAGGAAGUAGCUCCCCACAUGAGCAAGAGAGGAUAAGGUGGAGAGGGAGUAAGAUCACUAGAAAGCCGCAUGCUGCCAGACCACCAAAGGACCCUAGAGGUUGAAGAACAUCCCCAACACCCAGACUGACCUAAAGAACUUGGGAACCUCCCAGACACCAGGAGAAUCAUCUUGUUCUUGGUGUUUAUUCACAAGGUUUGUCAUGAUUUCCAGGAGCCUAGUGGAGUUGGAUACAACAUACUCCAAGGCAGGACAUUUCCCUGCAUCCAGGUUAAGGUCUGCUACCAGCAGGAACAUGGAGCACUCCAUAACAGCGCAAACUGUCUCUAACCAGAAUAGAAAGAGGAGUGGGAGGCCCCGGUGCACAACUGAGCAAGAGGAAAAGUACAUUAGUGUCUAGUUUGAGAAACAGACGCCUCACAAGUCCUUAACUGGCAGCUUCAUUAAAUAGUACCCG
rnacentral:lncRNA from 1 species